UACGUAGGGUGCAAGCGUUAUCCGGAAUUAUUGGGCGUAAAGAGCUCGUAGGCGGUUUGUCGCGUCUGCUGUGAAAACUGGGGGCUCAACCCCCAGCCUGCAGUGGGUACGGGCAGACUAGAGUGCGGUAGGGGAGAUUGGAAUUCCUGGUGUAGCGGUGGAAUGCGCAGAUAUCAGGAGGAACACCGAUGGCGAAGGCAGAUCUCUGGGCCGUAACUGACGCCGAGGAGCGAAAGCAUGGGGAGCGAACAGG
rnacentral:rRNA from 1 species